rnacentral:rRNA from 1 species
UAGGGAAUCUUCGGCAAUGGACGAAAGUCUGACCGAGCAACGCCGCGUGAGUGAAGAAGGUUUUCGGAUCGUAAAACUCUGUUGUUAGAGAAGAACAAGGACGUUAGUAACUGAACGUCCCCUGACGGUAUCUAACCAGAAAGCCACGGCUAACUACGUGCCAGCAGCCGCGGUAAUACGUAGGUGGCAAGCGUUGUCCGGAUUUAUUGGGCGUAAAGCGAGCGCAAGCGGUUUCUUAAGUCUGAUGUGAAAGCCCCCGGCUCAACCGGGGAGGGUCAUUGGAAACUGGGAGACUUGAGUGCAGAAGAGGGGAGUGGAAUUCCAUGUGUAGCGGUGAAAUGCGUAGAUAUAUGGAGGAACACCAGUGGCGAAGGCGGCUCUCUGGUCUGUAACUGACGCUGAGGCUCGAAAGCGUGGGGAGCAAACAGG